AUGCUGAUUAAUUCAGCAUGCACAGUGAGAAUAAUAAAACAGGAAAAGCAUUCGAUUGCAUUUUGCAUUAGAACGACUAAACUUUCCACCAUGCAACAAACAGCGAUCUUUACAGCACCACUAUAUAAACUGGCAAGUGAAAUAAAAGAUACAAUAGAAUCAUCAAGCAAACGCUCACAUGAUGGUUGUAUAAGCAAGCGUGUUCCUCCUGCAGCAAGGGCAUCUUCCUCCUUGAGCUUGGCUUCCUUUCGCAAAAUGAGCAAAUAUUUCAGUCUGCUGCAAGAGGUUUAUCUCAAUGGUAGGACGACAAGGGUACAGAACAUACCAUGUCAGCAUCAAUGGAAGCGUUUUGGCUAUCCAGUAUUUCCUGGAUCUUCUGCUUCUUGA
rnacentral:rRNA from 1 species